rnacentral:misc_RNA from 1 species
UUUCCGUAGGUGAACCUGCGGAAGGAUCAUUCAUAAUAAAGUGUUUUAUGGCACUUUUUAAAAAUCCAUAUCCACCUUGUGUGCAAUGUUAGAUCUCGUCAAUCUUGGCGAGAUUUUUUUACAUCAACUCAUUCUUUAACUAAUUUGUCUGAAAAAUAUUAUGAAUACUUAAUUCAAAAUACAACUUUCAACAACGGAUCUCUUGGCUCUC